CAGUAGCCGCGGUAAUACGGAGGGUGCAAGCGUUAAUCGGAAUUACUGGGCGUAAAGCGCACGCAGGCGGUCUGACAAGUCAGAUGUGAAAUCCCCGGGCUUAACCUGGGAACUGCAUUUGAAACUGUCAGGCUGGAGUCUUGUAGAGGGGGGUAGAAUUCCAGGUGUAGCGGUGAAAUGCGUAGAGAUCUGGAGGAAUACCGAUGGCAAAGGCAGCCAUCUGGCCUAAUACUGACGCUGAGGUACGAAAGCAUGGGGAGCAAACAGGAUUAGAUACCCCUGUAGUCCCUGUCUCUUAUAC
rnacentral:rRNA from 1 species